UGCGAGUCACGUAGAAAUACGUGGCAAACGGCUCAGUAACACGUAGUCAACAUGCCCAGGGGACGUGGAUAACCUCGGGAAACUGAGGAUAAACCGCGAUAGGCCAUGAUUUCUGGAAUGGUUCAUGGCUGAAAUCUAUAUGGCCCCUGGAUUGGACUGCGGCCGAUCAGGCUGUUGGUGAGGUAAUGGCCCACCAAACCUGUAACCGGUACGGGCUCUGAGAGGAGGAGCCCGGAGAUGGGCACUGAGACAAGGGCCCAGGCCCUAUGGGGCGCAGCAGACGCGAAAUCUCUGCAAUAGGCGAAAGCUUGACAGGGUUACUCUGAGUGAUUCCCGCUAAGGGGAUCUUUUGGCACCUUUAAAAAUGGUGCAGAAUAAGGGGUGGGCAAGUCUGGUGUCAGCCGCCGCGGUAAUACCAGCACCCCGAGUGGUCGGGACGAUUAUUGGGCCUAAAGCAUCCGUAGCCGGUCUUGCAAGUCCUCCGUUAAAUCCAGCUGCUUAACAGAUGGGCUGCGGAGGAUACUACAAGGCUAGGAGGCGGGAGAGGCAAGCGGUACUCAGUGGGUAGGGGUAAAAUCCUCUGAUCCAUUGAAGACCACCAGUGGCGAAGGCGGCUUGCCAGAACGCGCUCGACGGUGAGGGAUGAAAGCUGGGGGGAGCAAACCGGAUUAGAUACCCGGGUAGUCCCAGCUGUAAACGAUGCAGACUCGGUGAUGAAUAGGCUUCGUGCCUAUUCAGUGCCGCAGGGAAGCCGUUAAGUCUGCCGCCUGGGGAGUACGGUCGCAAGACUGAAACUUAA
rnacentral:rRNA from 1 species